rnacentral:pre_miRNA from 1 species
CCAAUUACACUCCUUUAUCAUUCUCUGGUCUUGUGUGAAUUUUAUACUACUGGACGGAGAACUGAUAAAGGAAAGUGAUGUG